UCAGGAUGAACGCUAGCUACAGGCUUAACACAUGCAAGUCGAGGGGAAACGAUAUUGGAAGCUUGCUUCCGAUAGGCGUCGACCGGCGCACGGGUGAGUAACGCGUAUCCAACCUGCCCAUCACUUGGGGAUAACCUUGCGAAAGUAAGACUAAUACCCAAUGACGUCUCUAGAAGACAUCUGAAAGAGAUUAAAGAUUUAUCGGUGAUGGAUGGGGAUGCGUCUGAUUAGCUUGUUGGCGGGGUAACGGCCCACCAAGGCGACGAUCAGUAGGGGUUCUGAGAGGAAGGCCCCCCACAUUGGAACUGAGACACGGUCCAAACUCCUACGGGAGGCAGCAGUGAGGAAUAUUGGUCAAUGGACGAGAGUCUGAACCAGCCAAGUAGCGUGCAGGAUGACGGCCCUAUGGGUUGUAAACUGCUUUUAUAAGGGAAUAAAGUGAGUCUCGUGAGACUUUUUGCAUGUACCUUAUGAAUAAGGACCGGCUAAUUCCGUG
rnacentral:rRNA from 1 species